rnacentral:rRNA from 1 species
UACGGGGGGGGCAAGCGUUGUUCGGAAUUACUGGGCGUAAAGAGCUCGUAGGCGGUUCGAUAAGUCGGGUGUGAAACCUCCAGGCUCAACCUGGAGACGCCACCCGAUACUGUCGUGACUAGAGUCCAGUAGGGGAGCGUGGAAUUCCUGGUGUAGCGGUGAAAUGCGCAGAUAUCAGGAGGAACACCCGUGGCGAAGGCGGCCCCCUGGGCCGAACCUGACGCUGAGGCGCGAAGGCUAGGGGAGCGAACGGG